rnacentral:rRNA from 1 species
UACAGAGGGUGCGAGCGUUAAUCGGAAUUACUGGGCGUAAAGCGCGCGUAGGCGGCUUUGCAAGCCGGAUGUGAAAUCCCCGGGCUCAACCUGGGAACUGCAUUCGGGACUGCUUUGCUAGAGUAUGGGAGAGGGAAGUGGAAUUUCAGGUGUAGCGGUGAAAUGCGUAGAUAUCUGGAGGAACACCGGUGGCGAAGGCGGCUUCCUGGACCGAUUACUGACGCUGAGGCGCGAAAGCUAGGGGAGCAAACGGG